rnacentral:rRNA from 1 species
UAGUCGCUGGCGGUAUGCCUUACACUUGCACGUCGUAACAAGGUAACCGUAAGUCGUCUGAGGUAUCCGUAAAGGGUGAGUAAUACAUCGGAACGUGCCCGAUCGUGGGGGAUAACGAGGCGAAAGCUUUGCUAAUACCGCAUACGAUCUACGGAUGAAAGCGGGGGAUCUUCGGACCUCGCGCGGACGGAGCGGCCGAUGGCAGAUUAGGUAGUUGGUGGGAUAAAAGCUUACCAAGCCGACGAUCUGUAGCUGGUCUGAGAGGAUGAUCAGCCACACUGGGACUGAGACACGGCCCAGACUCCUACGGGAGGCAGCAGUGGGGAAUUUUGGACAAUGGGCGAAAGCCUGAUCCAGCCAUGCCGCGUGCAGGAUGAAGGCCUUCGGGUUGUAAACUGCUUUUGUACGGAACGAAAAGCCUCUUUCUAAUAAAGAGGGGUCAUGACGGUACCGUAAGAAUAAGCACCGGCUAACUACGUGCCAGCAGCCGCGGUAAUACGUAGGGUGCAAGCGUUAAUCGGAAUUACUGGGCGUAAAGCGUGCGCAGGCGGUUUUGUAAGACAGAGGUGAAAUCCCCGGGCUCAACCUGGGAACUGCCUUUGUGACUGCAAGGCU